CAGCUCUCCAGGAGGCCCACAUUCUUUCUGCGGGAACCACUCCAAAGGGGCAUGCUGUUCCAGGCAGCCCCUCGCGCAGACACUCCGGCUUUGUCGAGGGCCCACAACGCGUCCCCGGUGAUGUUCAUGCCCACCUCCCAGUAGUGCCUCCCAGAGGAGAAGGCCGUCUGGCCCACAGCACAGGGAGCCCCCAGUGCCUCACCUAAGCUGAGCUACCCUGUCAGCCCACGGCCACACGCCUGAGGUCCUGCAACUCAGGAGAGGCGGAGGGACCCCUUCCAGG
ensembl:lncRNA novel transcript